rnacentral:rRNA from 1 species
UACGGAGGAUGCGAGCGUUAUCCGGAUUUAUUGGGUUUAAAGGGUGCGUAGGCGGUUUGAUAAGUUAGAGGUGAAAUGUCGGGGCUCAACCCCGUCCGGCCGUUGAAACUGGGGGCCUUGAGUGGGCGAGAAGAAGGCGGAAUGCGUGGUGUAGCGGUGAAAUGCAUAGAUAUCACGCAGAACCCCGAUUGCGAAGGCAGCCUUCCGGCGCCCUACUGACGCUGAGGCACGAAAGUGCGGGGAUCGAACAGG